rnacentral:rRNA from 1 species
UACGUAGGGUGCAAGCGUUGUCCGGAAUUAUUGGGCGUAAAGAGCUCGUGAGCGGUCUGUCGCGUCUGCUGUGAAAACUCAGGGCUUAACCCUGAGCUUGCAGUGGGUACGGGCAGACUAGAGUGCGGUAGGGGAGACUGGAAUUCCUGGUGUAGCGGUGAAAUGCGCAGAUAUCAGGAGGAACACCGGUGGCGAAGGCGGGUCUCUGGGCCGUAACUGACGCUGGAGGAGCGAAAGCAUGGGGAGCGAACAGG